CUACGUAGGUGACAAGCGUUAUCCGGAUUUACUGGGCGUAAAGGGCGUGUAGGCGGUCUUGCAAGUCAGAAGUGAAAUUCCUGAGCUCAACUCGGGCGCUGCUUCUGAAACUGCAGGACUUGAGUGCUGGAGGGGAUAGCGGAAUUCCUAGUGGAGCGGUAAAAUGCGCAGAUAUUAGGAAGAACACCGGUGGCGAAGGCGGCUAUCUGGACAGUAACUGACGCUGAGGCACGAAAGCGUGGGGAUCAAACAGGAUUAGAUACCCUGGUAGUCCACGCAGUAAACGAUGAUGGCUAACCGCUGGGCUUAUCAGUUCAGUGGCCAAGCGAAAGCGAUAAGCCAUCCACCUGGGGAGUACGACCGCAAGGUUGAAACUCAAAGGAAUUGACGGGG
rnacentral:rRNA from 1 species